UACGGGAGGGAGCUAGCGUUAUUCGGAAUUACUGGGCGUAAAGCGCACGUAGGCGGCUUUGUAAGUUAGAGGUGAAAGCCUGGAGCUCAACUCCAGAAUUGCCUUUAAGACUGCAUCGCUUGAAUCCAGGAGAGGUGAGUGGAAUUCCGAGUGUAGAGGUGAAAUUCGUAGAUAUUCGGAAGAACACCAGUGGCGAAGGCGGCUCACUGGACUGGUAUUGACGCUGAGGUGCGAAAGCGUGGGGAGCAAACAGG
rnacentral:rRNA from 1 species